rnacentral:rRNA from 1 species
AGCCAGACUCCUACGGGAGGCAGCAGUGGGGAAUAUUGCACAAUGGGGGAAACCCUGAUGCAGCGACGCCGCGUGAGUGAAGAAGUAUUUCGGUAUGUAAAGCUCUAUCAGCAGGGAAGAAAUAGCGACCUUUGGGUCGCCAGACGGUACCUGAUUAAGAAGCCCCGGCUAACUACGUGCCAGCAGCCGCGGUAAUACGUAGGGGGCAAGCGUUAUCCGGAUUUACUGGGUGUAAAGGGAGCGUAGACGGCAGCGCAAGUCUGAAGUGAAAUGCCGGGGCUUAACCCCGGAACUGCUUUGGAAACUGUGCAGCUAGAGUGCAGGAGAGGUAAGUGGAAUUCCUAGUGUAGCGGUGAAAUGCGUAGAUAUUAGGAGGAACACCAGUGGCGAAGGCGGCUUACUG